GGUUUGCCUUACGUUAAAUACUAAGGAUGGAAUUCAUAAGUAAAUUAAUUUUAAAUCACUGUUAGCCAGUGUUAUAUGAUAUUUUGAUUAAAUAUACAAAACUCUGAUUCCAUUAAAAUAAUAAAACGUCUAAAGCAUGCUUAUUACAUUAAGUAGUUUUUAUACUUUUUACAUUUAACCAACCAAUAAAAUAUAAAUGAUACCAAUACCGCGGAUUGUCAAUGUAAGCUGAGAAUGGAUCUUGCAUUUGUAAUACCAGUGAAACUACUAAUAUUCUAUCUACGUUGAAGAUGAACGAUAACAAUUACAUAAACAUCAAUGAUUUAUUGCAAUUUCUAUUGUAAAGAUUAUUGAUUAUACCAGUACCGCGGAUUGUCAAUGUAAGCUGGGCAUGGAUCUUGCAUUUGUAAUACCUGUGAAACUACUAAUAUUCUAUCUACGUUGAAGAUGAACGAUAACAAUUACAUAAACAUCAAUGAUUUAUUGCAAUUUCUUUUGUACAGAUUAUUGAUUAUACCAGUACCGCGGAUUGUCAAUGUAAGCUGGGCAUGGAUCUUGCAUUUGUAAUACCUGUGAAACUAUUAAUAUUCUAUCUACAUUGAAGAUGAACGAUAACAAUUACAUAAACAUCAAUGAUUUAUUGCAAUUUCUUUUGUAAAGAUUAUUGAUUAUACCAGUACCGCGGAUUGUCAAUGUAAGCUGAGA
rnacentral:lncRNA from 1 species